CGGGGUGUAGCGCAGCCCGGCAGCGCACAUCGUUUGGGACGAUGGGGCCAGAGGUUCAAAUCCUCUCACCCCGA
rnacentral:tRNA from 1 species